ACGUGAUCUGAGUUCAGACCGGAGUAAUCCAGGUCAGUUUCUAUCUAUAGAGGAGUUUUUUCUAGUACGAAAGGACCGAGAAAACAUGGCCCAUACUUCAUGCAAGCCAUAAUUAAUAACUUAUGAUAAAAUCUUAAUAAAUAAUUAAACCAACACUAAGCUCAAAAAAAUAGCA
rnacentral:rRNA from 1 species